rnacentral:rRNA from 1 species
ACUCCUACGGGAGGCGAGCAGUGGGGAAUAUUGGCACAAUGGGCGCAAGGCCAUCGAUGCAGCCAUGCCGCGUGUGUGAAGAAGGCCUUCGGGUUGUAAAGCACUUUCAGUUGUGAGGAAGGUGUGUCGUUAAUAGCGGCAUCAUUUGAUCGUUAGCAACAGAAGAAGCACCGGCUAACUCCGUGCCAGCAGCCGCGGUAAUACGGAGGGUGCGAGCGUUAAUCGGAAUUACUGGGCGUAAAGCGCAUGCAGGUGGCUUUGUUAAGUCAGAUGUGAAAGCCCGGGGCUCAACCUCGGAACUGCAUUUGAAACUGGCAGACUAGAGUACUGGUAGAGGGGGUAGAAUUUCAGGUGUAGCGGUGAAAUGCGUAGAGAUCUGAAGGAAUACCGGUGGCGAAGGCCGGCCCCCUGGACAGAUACUGACACUCAGGAAUGCGAAAGCGUGGGGAGCAAACAGGAUUAGAUACCCUGGUAGGUGACAAU